rnacentral:rRNA from 1 species
AUUGAACGCUGGCGGCAUGUCUUACACAUGCAAGUCGAACGGUAACGCGGGGCAACCUGGCGACGAGUGGCGAACGGGUGAGUAAUGCAUCGGAACGUGCCCAGUAGUGGGGGAUAGCCCGGCGAAAGCCGGAUUAAUACCGCAUACGACCUACGGGUGCAAGGGGGGGAUCGCAAGACCUCUCGCUAUUGGAGCGGCCGAUGGCAGAUUAGGUAGUUGGGGGGGUAAAGGCCCACCAAGCCUUCGAUCUGUAGCUGGUCUGAGAGGACGACCAGCCACACUGGGGCUGAGACACGGCCCAGAAUCAUACGGGAGGCAGCAGUGGGGAAGUGUGGACAAUGGGCGCAAGCCUGAUCCAGCCAUGCCGCGUGCGGGAAGAAGGCCUUCGGGUUGUAAACCGCUUUUGUCAGGGAAGAAACGCUCUGGGCUAAUACCUCGGGGUAAUGACGGUACCUGAAGAAUAAGCACCGGCUAACUACGUGCCAGCCGCCGCCGUAA